rnacentral:rRNA from 1 species
CGGUGAGGAACCUGCCUUUCAGAGGGGGACAACAGUUGGAAACGACUGCUAAUACCGCAUGACACAUUGGAGUCGCAUGGCUCUGAUGUCAAAGAUUUAUCGCUGAAAGAUGGCCUCGCGUCUGAUUAGCUAGUUGGUGAGGUAACGGCCCACCAAGGCGACGAUCAGUAGCCGGACUGAGAGGUUGACCGGCCACAUUGGGACUGAGAUACGGCCCAG